GAUGAACGCUGGCGGCGUGCCUAAUACAUGCAAGUCGAACGUAUUGUGGUUGAAAUGAUAUGAAGAACUUGUUCAGAUUUGAUUUUCAACAUUGCAAUGAGUGGCGAACGGGUGAGUAACACGUGGGAAACCUACCUCUUAGCAGGGGAUAACAUUUGGAAACAAAUGCUAAUACCGUAUAAUAAUUAAAACCGCAUGGUUUUAGUUUAAAAGAUGGUCUUGCUAUCACUAAGAGAUGGUCCCGCGGUGUAUUAGUUAGUUGGUGAGGUAAUGGCUCACCAAGACAAUGAUACAUAGCCGAGUUGAGAGACUGACCGGCCACAAUGGGACUGAGACACGGCCCAUACUCCUACGGGAGGCAGCAGUAGGGAAUCUUCCACAAUGGACGAAAGUCUGAUGGAGCAACGCCGCGUGUGUGAUGAAGGGUUUCGGCUCGUAAAACACUGUUGUAAGAGAAGAAUGACAUUGAGAGUAACUGUUCAAUGUGUGACGGUAUCUUACCAGAAAGGAACGGCUAAAUACGUGCCAGCAGCCGCGGUAAUACGUAUGUUCCAAGCGUUAUCCGGAUUUAUUGGGCGUAAAGCGAGCGCAGACGGUUAUUUAAGUCUGAAGUGAAAGCCCUCGGCUCAACCGAGGAAUUGCUUUGGAGACUGGAUAACUUGAGUGCAGUAGAGGAAAGUGGAACUCCAUGUGUAGCGGUGAAAUGCGUAGAUAUAUGGAAGAACACCAGUGGCGAAGGCGGCUUUCUGGACUGUAACUGACGUUGAGGCUCGAAAGUGUGGGUAGCAAACAGGAUUAGAUACCCUGGUAGUCCACACUGUAAACGAUGAGUGCUAGUUGUUCGAGGGUUUCCGCCCUUG
rnacentral:rRNA from 1 species